AUGUUUAUAACUACCUUUAACCAUCAUAAAAAAUAUAAAAAAUAUAUACCUUUUUUUUUUUUUUUUUUUUACUUUUUCAUCUUAAUUAUUAUUAUAAUUGCCAUAAUAUAUAUAUAUAUAUAUAUAUACCUUUUAUCUUUCCAAAUAAUCUCCGAACGUAUUAAACUUUCUUUGAAAAAAAUUAAAAAGGAAAAAAAGCUCUUUUUUCUAUUGAUAAAAAAAAAAAAAAAAAAAAAAAAGAAAAAAAAAAAAAAAAAAAAAAAAAAAAAAAAAAAAAAAAUGUGACAAAACAAGCAAAUACAUACGGACAAAAGGUGCACAUGAUACCAUACGUGUAUGUUUAUGCACAUAUCUAUACAUGCAUGUUUAUAUAUAUAUAUAUAUAUACCCAUUUUUAUAUUCUUGUUUUUUAGCAAAAUAUAUUUGUUUAAAUAUUAUUUUUAGUGAUUUUUGUAAAGCUCUUUUUUUUUUUUUUUUUUUUUUUUUUUCCUACAUUAUAUAUAAUAAACAUUGUUAUUUUUAAAAUAUAACCGAUAAA
rnacentral:lncRNA from 1 species